AACGUAGGAGGCGAGCGUUAUCCGGAUUUACUGGGCGUAAAGCGCGUGCAGGCGGUAGUGCAAGUUGGGCGUGAAAUCUUUCGGCUUAACCGGGAGGGGACGUCCAAUACUGUGUUACUUGAGUGCAGGAGAGGGGAGCGGAAUUCCCGGUGUAGCGGUAAUAUGCGCAGAUAUCGGGAGGAACACCAGUGGCGAAGGCGGCUCUCUGGCCUGUAACUGACGCUAAGACGCGAAAGCUAGGGUAG
rnacentral:rRNA from 1 species